rnacentral:rRNA from 1 species
CCUACGGGAGGCAGCAGUGGGGAAUAUUGCACAAUGGGCGAAACCCUGAUGCAGCGACGCCGCGUGAGUGAAGAAGGAAUUCGUUAUGUAAAACUCUAUCAGUAGGGAAGAAAAUGACGGUACCUGAGUAAGAAGCCCCGGCUAACUACGUGCCAGCAGCCGCGGUAAUACGUAGGGGGCAAGCGUUAUCCGGAUUUACUGGGUGUAACGGGAGCGUAGACGGCAGUGCAAGUCUGGAGUGAAAGGCGGGGGCUCAACCCCCGGACUGCUGUGGAAACUGUACGGCUGGAGUGCAGGAGAGGUAAGUGGAAUUCCUAGUGUAGCGGUGAAAUGCGUAGAUAUUAGGAGGAACACCAGUGGCGAAGGCGGCUUACUGGACUGUAACUGACGUUGAGGCUCGAAAGCGUGGGGAGCAAACAGGAUUAGAUACCCCAGUAGUC